AAGUGAGGUGGUGCUCUGAACCGGACCGUCGCCGCUCUUUGCUCCUGGCCAUCUCAGCUCGUCGCGGAGAGGAGCACGUGCUUCCCUAGCACUGUUGUGGUUUGACUCGUACUUUGGACACUGCAAGAAUAUUCUUCACCAAGAGGUUGAUCAAACCAGAGAAAAGUCAUGACAUGCUCAAGGAAGUAAAGCCUGCCUGAAUAAGCAUCAGGAAGACCUGGCGCCCCCCGGUGCUCUUUGUUUAACAGAGGAGGCAUCCUUUGGACAGAAUGGAAGAGGUGUUAGAGAGAAUCACCAUGUCAGUAUGACAAGAAGAGUACUGCGAUAUGUUGGCAACAGCAGGAUGGCAACCAGCUGGCAGCAAUGAUAGACUAUGAAUUAACAAGAAUCAUAGAAUCAUAAAAUGGUGUGGGUUGAAAAGGAUCUCAAAGAUCAUCUAGUUUCAAACCCCCUGCCAUGGGAGACCUGCUAACCACAAGAUAAGGCUUCACAGAGCCACAUCCAGCAUGGCCUUGAAUGCAUCCAGGGAUGGGGCAUCCUCAGUCUCCUUGGGCAACCUGUUCCAUUGCAUCACCACCCUCUGAGUGAAAAGCUUCCUUCUAAUAUCUAACCUAAAUCUCCCCUGUCUGAAUUUAAAACCGGACCUUCCUUUGUUCUUCCCAGAUUUGAGCUUAUUUUGUAAGGACACUUCAUCCUUGUUUUUUUUCCUUCAAGGCUUCGCUUGGAGUGUGAACAGCCUUGUUUCCCUCAACAGUUCUGCCUCAGAAGAAGCACUGGAUUCAUAAGAGGCUACUUUAAUCUUUUGCAACCAGCAGGAGCAAGUAGGUUUUUUUCUCAGAUGUUCACAUAUGUUGUUUCAGAAAUUUCUCAUUAUGGCCUAAUAAGCAAUGGAAGUUUUUCAAACUGGGGAAAAACAAAAAGGUCAGCCAGAAGUCUCUGUGAUGAAGCUGCUGAUGGAAACCUAAGGAGAAAGUAAGUGGUUGAAGACCACUAGAGGCCGCUACCAGAGGGACAUUAACAGAUAUUAAUGAAUUCGGAGAGGGAAAAAAAAAAGAGAAUAUGUAUGUUAAUAUACUGCAUAAAACAUAUGUAUGUUUUAACUGAAACGUAGAAUCUGAACUCUGAGAGAGCAUGUUUGUUUUGUCAAGUCGUCUGGUAUGUAUCAUGUGGAAUAAAGGAAUGCCA
ensembl:lncRNA